rnacentral:rRNA from 1 species
GAUGAACGCUGGCGGCGUGCUUAACACAUGCAAGUCGAACGGUGAAGCAGGAGCUUGCUCUUGUGGAUCAGUGGCGAACGGGUGAGUAACACGUGAGCAACCUGCCCCUGACUCUGGGAUAAGCGCUGGAAACGGCGUCUAAUACUGGAUAUGUGAUGUGACCGCAUGGUCUGCAUCUGGAAAGAAUUCCGGUUGGGGAUGGGCUCGCGGCCUAUCAGCUUGUUGGUGAGGUAAUGGCUCACCAAGGCGUCGACGGGUAGCCGGCCUGAGAGGGUGACCGGCCACACUGGGACUAAGACACGGCCCAGACUCCUACGGGAGGCAGCAGUGGGGAAUAUUGCACAAUGGGCGGAAGCCUGAUGCAGCAACGCCGCGUGAGGGAUGACGGCCUUCGGGUUGUAAACCUCUUUUAGCAGGGAAGAAGCGAAAGUGACGGUACCUGCAGAAAAAGCACCGGCUAACUACGUGCCAGCCGCCGCAGUAA